rnacentral:lncRNA from 1 species
GGUGGAUUUAGAGGAGGAAGAGGAUGAGGAGAAAAAAAAGCAUGAGGAGGAGAAAUGAAUGAGGAAGAAGGGAAGGAGGGAAGAUGAGCUACUCGAUAGGGAAUAUGUUGGAGGAGGACAAGGAGAAAAAAAAGAUGGGAAGGAAGAAGAAGAGGAAGAUAAGAAGGGAUGAAGAUGGAAAAGGCCGCCAUAAAAAGGAGGAUGGUUUAUGAAUGGCUUGA